rnacentral:misc_RNA from 1 species
CUGUCGCACGCGUGGCAGAUCUCCGGCGAGGAGGACGACCGCGCGAACACCGACGAGGAGGACGGGCGCGCAGCCACCAGGGACGCAGGCACGACUUCUCAUCGGAAGGAGGAGAAGAGCAGGCGCGGCUGUCGACUGGACGGACGAUCGCACGACCACCGACGAGGAAAACGAGCGCGCAGUCACCAGGCACGGGCGCGCAGCCACCGGGGACGCAGGCACGACUUCUCAUCGAAAGGAGAAGAAGAGCAUGCGCGGCUGCCGGCUGGACGGACGACUGCGCGACCACCGAUGAGGAGGACGGGCGUGCAGCCACCGGGGACGCAGGCACGACAGCUCAUCGAAAGGAGGAGAAGAGCACGCGCGUCUGCUACCGGCUGGACGGACGACCGCGUGACCACUGACGAGGAAGACGGCCGCGCAGCCACCAGGGACGAUGCGGCUCGAACGACGACGACUAGGUGGACCUCACGGUGCUCGACGACGGUGGCAGGUUCGUCUCGGUCGUCUUGCUCGCCGUGCUCCUAG